CACACUCAAGCAUUUAUUUUAUUAUUAAAAGAAAAAGUUUGUUUUAAAGCCAAUCUUUUGCUAAAGAAAACACUUUUAACUUCUGUUUCUUAAAAAAAAACUUUAUUACUUCCACAACUCACCCCCCAGACGAAUGGCCAAGCUUUAACCGCCUCAAAAUCCGACUAUGGCAAGGAGUCGAGCCAUCAGCUGUCGUGAGCGUGAUGCAACUCCGGUACGUGGAGACGUGAAGAGUGCGUUCAUGGGCGUGUCAACGUGAAAUAUGGAAGGUGGAAGCGUGGGCUGAAGUAAUGGCGCGCGUAGAGGCUGGCUCGAAGGCAGCAGCAGCGCAAGGGGGAAAGGGAAUGGGUUCUGAAAACUCCAAAAACCUGGGCCUACUGGCUUUGGUUCAUUUCAUUCAGUAUUAGGCCAUUGUAAAACUUUUUGGGCCUGUUUAAUUUGGGUUUAAUGCAAGGCCGGGCAAAAUAUGGGUUUUACAAAAAAGAUUCUUGAAAAUAUCAACUCUCGUCCUCCCAUUACUUCUCUACACCAAUUCAUUAAAAUAAAAUUUUAUCAUGACUGAUCACAUUAACUCAAA